rnacentral:rRNA from 1 species
AUUGAACGCCGGCGGCAUGCCUUACACAUGCAAGUCGAACGGUAACAGGUCUUCGGAUGCUGACGAGUGGCGAACGGGUGAGUAAUACAUCGGAACGUGCCUAGUAGUGGGGGAUAACUACUCGAAAGAGUGGCUAAUACCGCAUGAGAUCUACGGAUGAAAGCAGGGGAUCGCAAGACCUUGUGCUACUAGAGCGGCCGAUGGCAGAUUAGGUAGUUGGUGGGAUAAAAGCUUACCAAGCCGACGAUCUGUAGCUGGUCUGAGAGGACGAUCAGCCACACUGGGACUGAGACACGGCCCAGACUCCUACGGGAGGCAGCAGUGGGGAAUUUUGGACAAUGGGCGCAAGCCUGAUCCAGCAAUGCCGCGUGCAGGAUGAAGGCCUUCGGGUUGUAAACUGCUUUUGUACGGAACGAAAAGCCCUGGGUUAAUACCCUGGGGUCAUGACGGUACCGUAAGAACAAGCACCGGCUAACUACGUGCCAGCAGCCGCAGUAAUAC